UAAUGGCAAUUAAGCAGUGGAAAAAUUGAACUUACUGGUGUAAGAAUAUAAAAACAUAGCGCGUGUUUCAUUACUGGACUUAUUAUUAGGAAUAUUGACAUAUUCACGUUGCGAACGAGACGGCGCCACUCUGACGUUUGUAUCCUCAAUUAUUGAAAUAUUCGACCGUAAGUAUCGUAGAUGUCUAGUCAAGAUAAGUUCAAGGAAACAAGAAAUGCGGAAAGAUCGGUCACGUAGCGAAUCGUUCCCUGAAUAACAUAGUGUUUUGAAUGACAAAAAGCAGUAUACGAACAAUAGGCUCGUUAUGUAUGGUAAACAAACAGUAACGAUCUCAUCGAUACACUGUUAAUUCCACCUAAUUAUAAAUUUUACGUGAUUCUACCUUUCCUACAGAGGCACCAGCAAAACUAGCGUCACUGUACAAGCUCACGCUACGUACAACAUAAGAUGGCAUGCUCAUUCAUAAGAUUGCGAUAGGAGAUUAACACGACAAAAAUAAGAAGGAAUUUGAUUAUGGGGAAAAUAAAUGAUAAAAAGAAAAUGGCGAUAUGAAGGAUCUUGUACGGCCGCGAUAAAGAAAUCUUCGGCUAACCAGGAAUGGAAAUAGAAAGCACGCGGACAAUGACAGCAGGCUUGUCCAUGGUUAAUAAAUGUGAGCUCGCUAAUUGAUUCUAAGUAACCAAUAAAUUGCGCUGGCCGCAUUGUAAAAGUGGUUAUGGUGAACGUAUGCGUGUGGUCGAGCGUUAUCUUUCCGCUGGUGGUUUGUUCGUUUUUCCCUCCCGAGAUCGCCUGCGCCUGUCGGCCGGCGCGUUAUCAUAAAAGCCCGCGCUUUUCCUCGCUCGUUUAAAAAUGGCGGUCUCAAUCGACGCUUCUCGCCAGUGGUAAUAUGGUCAUCGUAUCGAGUAGAAUAUCGCGAGGAUAUCGUGAAACAUCGUCCCAGCUAUCAAGGCAAUAUAUUGCGAUUCUUCAAAAAGAUAUUUUAUUGCGAAAAGGUUAUCACGUGGUAUUAUGUUUUGCAGAAUUUUUUAAGUUAUCGAAUGGAAUGGACUAUGAAGGUUCACAACACAAGGUCUUUUCUAUUCCGCAAUAAUAAAACACGGGACUCUCGGUAUUUAUGGACUACGAACUAUUUCUUUUUAUAAAAGUCUCAAAGUUACUUUGCAUGCAACAACGACUUUUGCUCACAUAGAUU